rnacentral:rRNA from 1 species
GACGAACCGUGCGAACGUUGUUCGGAAUCACUGGGCUUAAAGGGCGCGUAGGCGGGCUGUCAAGUCUGGGGUGAAAUGCCGCGGCUCAACCGUGGAACUGCCUUAGAUACUGACGGCCUCGAGGAAGGUAGGGGCAUGCGGAACUGUAGGUGGAGCGGUGAAAUGCGUUGAUAUCUACAGGAACUCCGGUGGCGAAAGCGGCGUGCUGGACCUUUUCUGACGCUGAGGCACGGAAAGCCAGGGGAGCGAACGGG